rnacentral:misc_RNA from 1 species
GAAAUGCGAUAAGUAGUGUGAAUUGCAGAAUUCAGUGAAUCAUCGAAUCUUUGGACGCACAUUGCGCCCUAUGGUAUUCCGUAGGGCAUGCCUGUUCGAGCGUCAUUUACACCUUCAAGCCUUGCUUGGUGUUGGGUGACUGUGGCCCCUUUGGGGCCACUCGCCUUAAAGUCAUUGGCGGCCGGUUCGUUGGCUUUGUAGCGCAGCACAAUUGCGUCCUCGAAGCCGCUGGACCAGCUCCCAGAAGCUAAUUUUAAAUGUUUGACCUCGAAUCAGGUAGGGAUACCCGCUGAACUUAAGC